rnacentral:rRNA from 1 species
GAUGAACGCUGGCGGCGUGCUUAACACAUGCAAGUCGAACGGAAAGGCCCAAGCUUGCUUGGGUACUCGAGUGGCGAACGGGUGAGUAACACGUGGGUGAUCUGCCCUGCACUUCGGGAUAAGCCUGGGAAACUGGGUCUAAUACCGGAUAGGACCACAUUUUGGAUGGUGUGGUGGAAAGUUUUUCGGUGUGGGAUGAGCUCGCGGCCUAUCAGCUUGUUGGUGGGGUAAUGGCCUACCAAGGCGUCGACGGGUAGCCGGCCUGAGAGGGUGUACGGCCACAUUGGGACUGAGAUACGGCCCAGACUCCUACGGGAGGCAGCAGUGGGGAAUAUUGCACAAUGGGCGCAGGCCUGAUGCAGCGACGCCGCGUGGGGGAUGACGGCCUUCGGGUUGUAAACUCCUUUCGCUAGGGACGAAGCGUUUUUGUGACGGUACCUGGAGAAGAAGCACCGGCUAACUACGU